GGGGGCCCCGCACAAGCGGUGGGAGCCUGUUGGUUUNAAUUCGAAGCAACGGCGAAGAACCUUACCAGGUCUUNACAUCNUCUAGACAAUCCCUAGAGAUAGGACGUCCCNUUNGGGGGGCAGAGUUNACAGGUGGUGCAUGGUGGUCGUCAGCUCGUUGUCGUGAGAUGUUUGGGUUAAGUCCCGNAACGAGCGCAACCCUUGAUUUUAGUUGCCAGCAUUCAGUUGGGCACUCUAAGGUGACUGCCGGUGACAAACCGGAGGAAGGUGGGGAUGACGUCAAAUCAUCAUGNNCCUUAUGACCUGGGCUACACACGUGCUACAAUGGACAGAACAAAGGGCAGCGAAACCGCGAGGUUAAGCCAAUCCCACAAAUCUGUUCUCAGUUCGGAUCGCAGUCUGCAACUCGAGUGCGUGAAGCUGGAAUCGUUCC
rnacentral:rRNA from 1 species